rnacentral:lncRNA from 1 species
UGUUUUGUUUCAGACACAAAAGCAAGUGACGCCUUGGAACCAGAUCAAAGAGGGCUCCAAGUGCAUGCUGCACAGAGCAGGCAGUGACCCUGGAAGGUUCGAUGUCCCUGGGAACAUUCCCACUUUAAGUUGGACAGACCUUGAAGCACAUCUGCGCCAGCAUUUGCACGUUCAUGUCUCCCUUACAUGCCUUUCCUCCUGUUUGUUUGAGCUUAACAGAAGGAAUGGCAGAAGUUUGCCCAAAUAAGGUACAUGGGCAGACACCUGAGGCUUUCAACACCUGUUUUAACAAAGAAGAAGAACCCAUCAAGUCAAUUUUUCUGAUCCAGCAAACAGCAUAGGUCUGGGAGUCAAAAAGCCUGGUAGCACAUAGCCUCUCAACUACUUAUUACCUUCCCUGACACAUUUGUCCAUCCUGGAUGUCCAUUGAUUCAUCAUAAAGGAUUGUCGAAAGAAUUAAAUGAGCCAGCGUAAAAGCAAUCAUUCUCUUUAUGAUCGCUCCUUCAAGUCAGACUCCAAGCCACUCGUAAAAGAAAGAAAAAAGCCUGGAAGGAGAGGCCUGCAGCAAAGUGAGGUGUCUCCUUUUAUGAGCAGUGCCCUGGGAUAGCUCCAAACCCAAAAGCUAAGUGCCCUGAAGACAGUCCCCAAAUAGGAUGUUAUAGAGAUGAAUGAAGCAAUGUUUCCAAGAUGCUUGGAGGUCUGGGAUGAAAAUCUGCUGAAACAGAGCAAAAAGCUAAGUCGUGAUCAGCCUUGCAUACAGCGGAAUGUAGAUCCUCGUCAUCGGAUUUGGACCCAGUGUAGACAGCACCUGAGCAUCAGUCAACUCCACCUUCUAAAGCCUGUGUUUAGCCACUGCAUCAAAAAGCAAAAGUACCAAUGGACAUUCUUCACCCUGGUUCAGCGUUUCUUCAGCCAAGUGCUUACUCAAGGAACCAAGAAUAAGAGAUAACAAUUUUUUAAAUAUGCAGAAACCCACCAAUAUGAAAAAAGAAGAUUGAAGGCCUUAUAAAAUAUAAAUGUUUCCUCACUGGUGACAGCCCUGCCACUAUUAAGCAUUGGUAUAUUAGUCCCCAAGACAUUUACUGCCAUCUGUUGGAAAAUUAGUAGAAUGAAUACAUUAAUCUAAGAUGACCACAAACAUACAUGUCAUCACAUAGUUUUGUGUAGUGUACAAUCUACAACAUACGAGGAUGCAAACCAAAAGUUUUGAGAAGGGAUAAUCAUGCUUAAAAUAAGCCCCACAGACAAUAUUAUUACCAUUAUUUUUCAUUGAUAAUGUAUUCAAUUAGAUAGUAGACAUUUGAGGAAAUGACAAAUAAGAAAGAUCUAAUUGUGACAUAAUUUAUUCAAUAAUUCAUUUAUACAGAAAAUAUUUAUCAAGUGUCUAUAAUGAGUCGAGCUUUAUUCUGGGAUCUAGUUAUAGAGCAAUGAAUAAAUAACACAGACAAAAUUAUCUCCCCUUACAGAGUUUCUGUGGGGAAAAACAAUAAAGUUUAGAUAAGUAUGUCAUUUAUGAGAUAGUAAUAAUUGCUAAAGACAAAAAGUCAAGGAUAAGAAAUACAAAAAUGUUGGGUGAUAAGUAGUUUGAGAAAAAACUUAGGAAGUUCACACAGUGGGGAAUAGUUUGUGUCACUUUAGUCAUAAUGAAAGGCCUUAUCAUAUAUAGGCAUCAAACAGUCUUCAAAAGAAUAUUGCCUUAGUACUGGGGCUACAUUGACUCUAAACCAAAAGCUGCUCUGACCUGCCCUAACAAAGUUCAAAACAAAGACUUGAAAGAAUGCAACUAAUCCCAACUAACUUGACUUUAUGCCAGAACAAAAUCCAACAUGAUUUAAAGAAAAACAACCAAAUUCAGCAAACAGCAAUAAAAAUUUCACAAUGCUUGGUAUCCAAUCAAGUAUAAUUAGUUUUGCAAAGUAGGAAAAUUUAUCCAAAACCAAGAAAAAAUUAAUAAAAGCAGAUUUUAAAAGAUCAGAGCUGAUAAAAUUAGGAGACAGAGACAUUGAGACAGCCAGGCUAAGUAUAUCCAAUGUGUUUAAGAAAAUAGAUGAAUAUAUAAGAAUCAAGAGAAAAGAAAUGGUAGAUUUUUUUAGAUGAUAUUAAAAGUAGAUUUGACACUGUAAAAUAAAUAAUCAAUGAACUUAAAAAUAUAAAAAUAAAUAAAGUGCAGAGAGAAAAAAUAAAAAUAAAGAUCAGAGUAUCCAUGUCCUGAGAGAAUAUCAAAUAGUCUAACAUUUGUGUAAUUGGUGUCCUAGAAGGGUAAUGUGCAGAAAAAGACACUAAUAAAAUAAAAUAAAUCACUAACAUUUUCCAAAUUUGGUGAAAACUAUAAAAUUUCCUGUACUGGGUUGAAUAGUGUGUCUCCCUCCCAAACUCAAGAAACACACACACCAAAUUCAUGUCCAUCCAGAACCUGUGACAGUGACCUUAGCUCGAAAUAGGGUUUUUGUAGAUGUAAUCAAGUUAAGAAGAGUUAAUGCUAAACUAAGAUGUACCCUAAUCUAGUGACUUGUGUCCUUGUAAAAACAGGAAAAUUUGUGCACAGAAAUAUGUGAAGAGGUCAUGUGAAGACAUAAACAGAUAUUGGAGUAAGGUAUCUACAAGCCAAGGAACACUAAAAAUUACUAGCAACCACCAGAACCAAGAAGAGACAAGGAAGGAGUCUUCCCUAGACCCUUCAGAGGGAGCAUGGCCCUGCCAAAAUCUUGAUUUCAGACUU